rnacentral:rRNA from 1 species
GAUGAACGCUGGCGGCGUGCCUAAUACAUGCAAGUCGAGCGAACGGACGAGAAGCUUGCUUCUCUGAUGUUAGCGGCGGACGGGUGAGUAACACGUGGAUAACCUACCUAUAAGAUUGGGAUAACUUCGGGAAACGGGAGCUAAUACCGGAUAAUAUUUUGAACCGCAUGGUUCAAAAGUGAAAGACGGUCUUGCUGUCACUUAUAGAUGGAUCCGCGCUGCAUUAGCUAGUUGGUAAGGUAACGGCUUACCAAGGCAACGAUGCAUAGCCGACCUGAGAGGGUGAUCGGCCACACUGGAACUGAGACACGGUCCAGACUCCUACGGGAGGCAGCAGUAGGGAAUCUUCCGCAAUGGGCGAAAGCCUGACGGAGCAACGCCGCGUGAGUGAUGAAGGUCUUCGGAUCGUAAAACUCUGUUAUUAGGGAAGAACAUAUGUGUAAGUAACUGUGCACAUCUUGACGGUACCUAAUCAGAAAGCCACGGCUAACUACGUG